GAAACAGAUGUCAAAUGAAAAGCCCUAUAUAAGCGUAGCAUACACAUUGAAUUUCAAAUUUCGGAGAAUUCGCCGAACAAUAAAAUGAAGUGUUUACUCGCUGUAACGUUGGUUAUUCUGGCAGUUGCCUGCGUCAACGGGGUGAACAUACAGUGCCUCUCACCGCCUAAGGAGCACACCAUCUGCCGGGAAGGUCUGAAGACUCUGAAAUGGACGUACGUCCUUCGUGACAAAAAAUGCGCCCCAAAAUGGGGCUGCUACGUUAGCGAUGCCAAAAACGUGUUCGGGACAGAGGCCGGCUGUCGUCUUGGCUGUGAAUUAUAAAUGUAACGGAUGAUAA